GCUGUCCUGCACAUGCCAGCACCCCAGGCACAGCUACCUUGCUGCACCUGUGACGUCGGGGCAAAGAGCAAGCGGCUAUUUCUACGCUCAGUGUUCAGAAGCCAGUGAGCACUAAGAAUGGUUUAUAGCCUGACAUUU